GCAGUGAUGUGGAGCAAAACACAAAAAGACAGUCUCAGUUCAGAUUGUAGGCUGAAACUCGCCUAUAUGAAGUCGGAAUUGCUAGUAAUCGCAGAUCAGCAUGCUGCGGUGAAUACGUUCCCGGGCCUUGUACACACCGCCCGUCACACCAUGAGAGUCGAUAACACCCGAAGCCUGUAGUCUAACCAUAAGGAGGACGCAGUCGAAGGUGGGAUUGAUAAUUAGGGUGAAGUCGUAACAAGGUAAC
rnacentral:rRNA from 1 species